rnacentral:miRNA from 1 species
AACACGCGGCCCGGCAGCUCU